GGGUCUGUAGCUCAGUUGGUUAGAGCGCACCCUGAUAAGGGUGAGGUCGCUGGUUCAACUCCAGCCAGACCCACCA
rnacentral:tRNA from 1 species